CAGCCUACGGGAGGCAGCAGUGAGGAAUAUUGGUCAAUGGGCGGAAGCCUGAACCAGCCAAGUCGCGUGAGGGAAUAAGGCCCUACGGGUCGUAAACCUCUUUUGCCGGGGAGCAAGGGCGGGGACGUGUCCCGGCCCGGAGAGUACCCGGAGAAAAAGCAUCGGCUAACUCCGUGCCAGCAGCCGCGGUAAUACGGAGGAUGCGAGCGUUAUCCGGAUUCACUGGGUGUAAAGGGAGCGUAGACGGCCAUGCAAGCCAGGGGGGAAAGCCCGGGGCCCAACCC
rnacentral:rRNA from 1 species